rfam:Brassica napus, WGS project CCCW01000000 data, contig: 2161
AGGCAAGGAUGAUGAGAAAAGAUUACCAUCAAACUUUGAGAGAUUCACAGCUCGUUGAUGCAUACUUCUUUUUUAUAACCUGAGCUU